rnacentral:pre_miRNA from 1 species
UCCUAUGGGUAAGCAAAGAAAGUGGUUUCUUGACAUGGAACCUACUCCUGGUGAAGAUGCUGAGAA